rnacentral:rRNA from 1 species
UACGGAGGGUGCGAGCGUUGUCCGGAAUCACUGGGCGUAAAGGGUGCGUAGGCGGGUCUUUAAGUCAGGGGUGAAAUCCUGGAGCUCAACUCCAGAACUGCCUUUGAUACUGAAGAUCUUGAGUUCGGGAGAGGUGAGUGGAACUGCGAGUGUAGAGGUGAAAUUCGUAGAUAUUCGCAAGAACACCAGUGGCGGAGGCGGCUCACUGGCCCGAUACUGACGCUGAGGCACGAAAGCGUGGGGAGCAAACAGG